rnacentral:rRNA from 1 species
GAUGAACGCUGGCGGCGUGCCUAAUACAUGCAAGUCGAGCGAACGGUCGAGAAGUUUGCUUCUCUGAUGUUAGCGGCGGACGGGUGAGUAACACGUGGAUAACCUACCUAUAAGACUGGGAUAACUUCGGGAAACCGGAGCUAAUACCGGAUAAUAUUUUGAACCGCAUGGUUCAAAAGUGAAAGACGGUCUUGCUGUCACUUAUAGAUGGAUCCGCGCUGCAUUAGCUAGUUGGUAAGGUAACGGCUUACCAAGGCAACGAUGCAUAGCCGACCUGAGAGGGUGAUCGGCCACACUGGAACUGAGACACGGUCCAGACUCCUACGGGAGGCAGCAGUAGGGAAUCUUCCGCAAUGGGCGAAAGCCUGACGGAGCAACGCCGCGUGAGUGAUGAAGGUCUUCGGAUCGUAAAACUCUGUUAUUAGGGAAGAACAUAUGUGUAAGUAACUGUGCACAUCUUGACGGUACCUAAUCAGAAAGCCACGGCUAACUACGUG